GCAAACGUAAUGGUAUAUAAAUAAAAUUCUUUUAUGUUAUUAGGAUUAUAAUGACAACAAACAAAACCAGAAACCAAGGAUUGAUAUUUUAGGGAAAAGACACUCAGUUUCACCGCAUUAUAAUAAAGAAAAACAUGUGACAAACUUGUUAUUCCAACCAAUGGUGUCAGAUAUUGAUGAUCAGAAUGUCCUUCAUCGAAAAAGGAAGAGAAAAAAGAAACACAAACAGAAGGAGAAAACAGGAAUGGUAACAAUGAAGCCAACUGGUCAGUUCCUGACAGACGAUACCAUUAUAGGAGACCCAGACCAUGAAAACUAAUACUACCUCAACAUGUACGAAAGGAUAUAGAUUGCAAUAUUUGUUUAGCUCUGUGUUUGUCAGAAAAUCAAAUUAAAUUAAAAAAUGUA